rnacentral:rRNA from 1 species
UAGUAUUAAUAGUUAUGAUCUUUAAAUUAAAAGAAUUUGGCGGUAAUUUAGUCUGUUCAGAGGAAUCUGCCCUGUAAUUGAUAGUCCACGAUAAAUUUUACUUUAUUUGGGCUUGUAUAUCGCUGUCAUUGAAUGUCUUAUUAGGGGAUUUUCGUUAAUCAUUAUAUGGAAGAUGUCAGGUCAAGGUGCAGCUAUAGUAAAGAAGAGGUGGAUUACAUUUAAUGUAUUUAUGGAUAAGUCUAUGGAAAUAGCUUUGAAAUUGGAUUUGAGAGUAACUUCUAU